ensembl:lncRNA
CAAGGAAGGAUUUCCUGAGCACGUGUUGCCUGUGAACUGCCCCACAGGGUGCCUGGCACUGCUGGCCUUCUGCAGUGAUCUGUGAUGCCAAACCUCUUAGUGGUGAUCAAAGCAAGUGGUUUGGACCCUUCCAAAGACCACACUCUUCAGUUCGUGGUAAGGAUUAUUCUGAACAAAAACAACAACAACCAAUCCAAAAACCAGCAAAUAGAAACCACCAAAAAAAAAAAAAAAAAGAAGCAAAAAAACCUUUUUCUUGGAUUUUAAAAACCAAUUCAAAACUAUUUAUUACUAUUAUUUUCCCCCAGCCUAGAGGCUCCUGCCCCUCUCAGCAUGCCUGGAUCCCUAAGAUCAGUGAGGUUUCCAGACUUCCUCCCUCUUUUUGUCCUGCACGAGAGCGCUUUGCUAGGCGCGCAAGUGUGCGUGUGAGGAGCGGAGAGCAGCGCCGGGAGGGAGAUUGGGACAAUAGCUGGAGUGGAUUAUUCAUUCCCGUAGGGCAAUACUUCCCUGUAUGGGCUCCAGGAUGCAGUUGGAAGCUUGGGAACAAAGCGGGCAUCGAAUGUCAAGGUAACUGGUCCCCUUCCUUUGUUUAUGCUAUUGUUAAUGACGGGGCUCACUCAGCCCUGGCCUCAGCCGUGCUGUAUGGCAUUAAUAUUGACUUGAGAGAAUAGGCAGGGCAAUUAAAACCCAAACCCAGAACAACAGCAGCAUCCACCCGAAGCCCAGUUCUUCAGGUAAAACAUGCCUCUUCUGGGCUACUGAGAAUGAUAUAGUAGUCUUGCCUGGUAUUCACAGAAACACACACACCGUCCAUAAAAUUAAACACAUCCCUACACAGCAUUAACAGGCAGGGGAGACACCGUAACCCCGUCCUUCAGUAUCAAAUCAAAAGGGAAAGGGCAUUAUUUUCAAAUACCCACUUAUUAGCAUGAGAGAAUUCUCAUCAGGAUAAAAAAAAAUCAAAGAAACUAAUAAAAAUAUUAUUUUAAUUAUGAUAAUCGAAAACUAGUAGAAACCUGAGCAUUUAUUGACUAAUUUUCUUCUUCUUGAGGUAGCGGAUGGUAUUUAAAGUUCAACAUUUCACACAGCUCCUUGUUUAGUUUAAUUUUCUCAACAAUCUAGGCAAUUUCAGCAAAGUGGGUUAAAUUUUUUUAAAAAUGGGUACAUAUCUGAGUGUGGAUCUGCAUAAAAUAGAGAAAGUGAGAGAACUGGGGAGAGGAUGUUUUAUUAUUUUAAGAAGAGAAGGGAGUGCAUGUUUGCAUGUGUGUGUGGAUGCAUGUGUGUGUGGAUGCAUAUGUGUGAGAGAGAGUGAGAAACAAAUGGAGAGAUUUGCACCUUGCAUUUAUCUGUAGCUUUAGUGUGGACUCCGAAACAAAUAUCUAUUAGAUUUCUCUGAAAAAUAUCCCACUCAGGCAGACAGACCCCUGUCUUGAAUGAGAGGUCCAGGUGAUGAAAGAAAUUUAUGUUAUUCCACAACAAUUUUUUAUCAACUCUUUUUUUUUUUUUUUUCCCAGAAAGAUUAAUUUCAUCUCUCCUAUCCUGGGCCCAUUUUCUGUCAGUGAAGGGGUAUAAUAAUGAUCAAUGCCCAGCACUUCUCAUAUCUUUUGUACUUAGUAAAUAUUUGUAAUGUUUUGAAUGUAGAGGGGAGGUGAAGAGAUGAGCCCAAUCUCAGCUUCAGAGGAUCCUCAUGAGUACUCACACAGAGGGAGGAAAAAUCCAAACAACCAAGCCAGCCUGUUCAGAAGACCCUCCAGCCCAAAACUCUACAGUCAUGCAGUUAGUUUUUGUAUUUUAUCUGCCUGCUUGGUGAAAGGGUCUGCAUACAUCAGGCUAUCUGGGUUUAUGCGACCAGCUCCAGGUGUACAUUAGUACUCAAUUGAAAAGGGAACCUGGAGUUGUUCAGCAAACUACUCCUGUUUGACUGUAGUGUGGACUGAAUGCUGUCUAGUCAGCUGUAUGGAGUGGUGGCAGGGAAGUAGCUCCAAGUAUUUCCAAAACUAAUAACAAAAAGGUUACUAUAUAUAAAAUGUUUAUACAGCCCACAUUCACUCAGGUUGUUUAAAUUUCGGUUUGAUGCAUGUAAAUACAGCAGACAUACCCAGUUUCCCAUUAGCCAGUCGCUGCUUUUUAAAAUCAGUUCAUUUCAGUUUGAAAGAAUGGCCCCAUACGCAAGACAGUCAACAACCCUUUGACUUUCUCCACUCAGUGUGGACCUCAGGAAGAAACAGCAUCUGUCUUUGUCAUUUCACAUGCGUACCGCAGUGCCUUGACAUUGUGUUUUAAGAGCAGGCCUACUACCAGGGAAAGUAGCAGUCCCCAGCUGGUUCCCCCUUUCUAAUACAUCUUCCCCUUUCUCAUCUUAGGGUCCUUUUGAGGAAGAAAUAGUUCUGCUAGGACCCCAUGCUUGGACUUUGGAGGGCAUGGUGCAGUGGUCUGAUGUGAAAGCACUGCAUAUGGAGACUCUCCUCUGUGUCCUGUGCCUUGCAAGAGAAGCAGCGAGGGGACACUUGAAGUAACCAAGCAUCUGGCAUCAAGCCUGACAAUCCACACUAUGUGAAGGAAAGUUUGUUCCAAACCACAUACUUUGUGGUGCUCGAUACUAGUGUCAAACUGGUUUGAACUGUCCCAGGUCUAAAAUAAAGAUCUCCAUUGUGGUAUGACAGUAAGCUUGUCUUGCUAAACUUUCCCUGUUUAUGUUGGAGGUACAGAGCUGAUGUAAUGCUGUCUUUUCACCCAUGGAUGGGCGCAAUAGGAACAAUUCAGAAAAGUUCUGUUUAGCUUUUCCUCCCUUGUAGUUGAAAAAAUGCAAGAUAUCAGAAACAAGCCUAUGUUUGAAGGUACAGUUUUCAACAUGUGAGUGGGAAACAUAUGUACUGGCACUAUUCUACAGUGUAAGGGCUGUGCUUGAAUUUUAGCUUUUAAUCUCAACUUUGUUAGAGAGCGAUGCAAAAUAGAAUGGAACCUGAUUAUUUGUGCUAUAGCCUUGUGAUGCUCAUCCUAUAACUGCUGGGGAGAGAAGCAAAACACUCUGCUAAAGCUUUGGGUGAGCCUGAGUUUCAGGGGGACUCUAGUCUUCACAGGUUCUCACUUCACUGCCUUUCUUCCCCUAGUAGUUGUUAUACGGUUUUUUUUUUCUGCUGUUCUACAUUUUAAAGUGAGUACAGACUCAAUCCUGCUGAGAGAGAGCUCCUUCCAUCACAAGCUCACGUUUGGAAAAUGCCUACCCACUUCGACUGCUCCCCUUCAGGUCAUCGUCCCCCUUUGAGGGGAGAAAAGAAAGUCAGAAAGAGAGAAGCGGGGGUGGGGGGAAGGGGGAGAACCCCUGAUUCCUCAGUGACCUGCACAGCUCGGACAGACCUCCAAGAUCCCCUCCGCCUCCUGCAGACAAGCCCCGACGGAGAGGAAAACCCCACAUAUCUGAACUUUUAACAUGGCUUGGGGUUUAUACAAUUCAGGCUAAAUUUUUAACAGUCUCGGGGGGAGGGGGGCGGGGGGCGACAAGGGAGAAGAAAGUUUAGAUUUAACUCUUCGUCGCUAAAAAAACCACCACAACCCAAGCCCCCAGGCACCAGCAAAAGCGCCCAGCGUCCCCGGCAGCCGGUGCCCUCCCGCCACACAUCCGAACGCUGAGCGGGGAAAGCAGCCCUGCCUGGGGUCUGCGGGUCUGGCAGGGAAGGUUUUUGGUACUGCUAAAGGCACACACACACAUACACAAAUAUAUAUAUAGAUAUAUAGAUAUAUAUAUAAUACACACACGUCUUUAUAUAUAGAUUUAUAUGUAGGUGUCUAGUCUAUGUUUAAAUUAUUCUAUCUAUACACACAGUCCUCCUCUGAUGAGGUCAUUCUCCCAUAUAUAUGAGAUGGGGUGUAAGAUGCCAGAUUCUAACGCCAAGAUCUUAUCACUGCCGAUCUAGAAGCAAUAUAAAGUAAAUGUUAGCAGAAGGGGAAAUAAAUUUUGGAGAGAAACAUUCAACAAGGUGUCCCUGAAGGUUUUUCCCCCGCCCUCCCCAGCCGAUGUGCCCACGCACUUUAUGCCAAAGAGAGCCACUUCUGCACAAGAGACUCCUGCUUCAGAGCAAGGACAGACUGCACCCUCAUCGUGGGUCUGUGCCUGGCAGGGGCUGCACCUUGACAUUUUUAAUCCCCUCUUCCCUUUCCCAAGCAACGCUCUCCUCUCUAAUGCGCUAAUCGGCUGCAGCUUAUUUAUUUUUAUUUUUUUCCCUUGUGGCUCCAAAUGUCUUAAUUUUUUUUUUUUUUUAAUUUCAGGAAACUCAAAACGGAAGACGGGAUGCUACUUGAAAGUGUGACUCAAAAAAAAAAGGUUUUGCUUUGCAGCCAUCAGUAGCACCAGGAGACAGCUCCAUUAAAAAAGUAGUUUUCCACUGCUCUUGAAAAGCCGUUAUUUUUUACAUCGCUUUUAGGAAGAUAGAUUAACAAAACAUCACAUUUCAAGCCACUCUGAGAUGUAAUUAAAUGGAGGAGCCGGUUUGUAUUCUCCUAUGGCUUUUACAGAAGUUGCAGUGAUCCAAAGUCAGGUUGCUGUGUCAGAGUGGCAUUUUUAUUAAUGAGAAUACAAAAAGCUUGCAUAUUCUUAGCCCGGCUUGAAUUUAGUUGCUAAGCAACCGCUGUAUGGUAAUUCAUCCGCGAAAUUUAAAUCUUGGAGAAAGGAUCCUGCGUUUUGCUGAAUGGUCGCCACGAGGAAAACAACUUGUGGGACCCGCGGCAG